UUAGAAAAUACUAAGAUCUCCAAGUUUCAUGACAGACAUUAAAAACUGUCCUAAUGUUGCAAAGUUUUCUUACAGAGGGUUUGAGUUGCUGGACCACAAAGACCAAACACAACAGGCAUGUGUCAGAGAUGCUGGCUGGAAAAAAAAACAAGAUUGAAAAAACAGGACUCUAAGACCAGGUUUUAGAAGGAAUAACCAACGUUUAUUAACACAAGAAAAGUCUUCAGAUCUUACUUGAUGGCUGGAAAAUGGAAUGCAGGAGGAUCAACAGGGGAAAGUCGAGGAGAGGACACAAGAUGAAACAGCCAGGACAGGAGUGGAACUACACACAACAGCAGUGAGCAGACAGAGACAGGCUGUAUACUGUGAGGGUUAAUCGGCAAACCAGGAACACCUGGGGAGUGGGAAACGAGGCACAGGUGGAAGAGAUGGACUAAUGAGGAGGACACGGGCUGGGGAGAAACCAUGCGGAGACACAGGAGCACCAACAGAUCUGCCUCGUCUCUUCACCUCACUGUUCCUCUGGCCUCCUCACCACUAUGGGGAACAGAGCCUUCAGCUGCUCUGCUGCCCAGACCCCGGCUCUGGAACUCACUGCCCUCUGAAAUAAGGAACUUGGACUCGCUUCCUCUUUUUAAAGCCAGUUUAAAGACUCACCUCCUUCAGGAUCGCUUACCACUGCUGAUUUUAAGUUUAAGUUUUGUAGUUUGAUUUUGUUAGUGUUUUGAAGAAGUAUUUUUAUGUGCAAACUUUAUUCAUUUUAUGGUAAAGUAGCCUGUCAUCUUGUGGUUGCCAGUGCUGUUGUGUGCAGUGAAGCAGCAUUCUGGUGCACAUUACAAGUAAUAAAUGUGUUGUGAGUCAAUUAUCUCCCCUCCUCCAUGAUGAGUGACUGUCAUGAGGAUUACCUUUUGUAAUGAGGGUUUGUCUUCUCCCCUUACAUAACAUGAUCAGCAGUAGUGGAAUGGACAAUCAUGUCAGUCCAGCCAGAUGCCCUGCUGCUUUGUUUUUUCUGGGUUUUAUUGUUUCGCAUGAGUUUUUUUUUAUUUUUUUUUUUAUUGGCCUUGUUUUUAUUUCUUUUUGGUCCGCUUUUAGUUUUACUGUUUUAUCAUGAACCUAUUUUUUAACCUAUUGUAUUCUGCUCCGUUUGAUCUGAGUUGGCUGGCCUUGACUGGAGCUGGGCCUGUUGGUGCUCGGCUGGGACUGCCUCCAUUUUCCAUCUUCUGAAUUUUUGUAGCCCUCUAGACAGCUCCAAUCAGUCUACAAACUCUAAACUGUGUGUGAACUGUGAGGGCUGUUUUGUCCCUAUUACAUGAAUCUAUUUCUAUGUCCCUUUGUGUGUUGUGGGUGACGGGCCCUUUACUGCUUGAAGAAAUUUAUAGUUAUU